GCUUGUCUCAAAGAUUAAGCCAUGCAUGUCUAAGUAUAACUCUUUUACUUUGAAAACUGCGAACGGCUCAUUAUAUCAGUUAUAGUUUCUUUGAUAGUCCCUUACUACUUGGAUACCCGUAGUAAUUCUAGAGCUAAUACAUGCAAAAAAACCCAGACUUACGAAUGGGUGCACUUAUUAGAUAAAGCCAACGCUGGGUAAAACCAGUUUCCCUUGGUGAUUCAUAAUAAUUAAGCGGAUCGCAUGGCCUUGUGCUAGCGACAGUCCACUCGAUUUUCUGCCCUAUCAUGGUUGAGAUUGUAAGAUAGAGGCUUACAAUGCCUACAACGGGUAACGGGGAAUUAGGGUUCGAUUCCGGAGAGGGAGCCUGAGAAACGGCUACCACAUCCAAGGAAGGCAGCAGG
rnacentral:rRNA from 1 species